UUGUAAGCUGUUAGCUUCAGCGCUCGGGAAUAUCCCCCUCCGAAACAGCUCUAUUAAACCCCUGUGGCAGUGCCCUUUAUCACACAUUAUUAGAGAGGCAUUUUGAAAGGUCUAAAGUCCUCCGCUAUUUAAGCGCAUGACCUUUCCAGUUCUACGAUCUCAUUUUCUCUCCAGUUAAUGUGCUACAAUGAAUUGCACCUGCCACUGAGCACUUGGUUGAUCAGAAAGUUGGUUAGACCUUGGACUCAUAGGCCAACUGCUCCCCCAGCCCCAAAUGCAGGCUGAAUAAUGCUGCAGUCCUUCUCGAGAAGCCAUCCGACGUCCUUCCUUCGCGUAUAAAGCCGAACAAAAUGCAAUGUCUUCAAGUUCCACGCUGACGUAGAAAUAGCCCAUGAUGGAGAAGAGGAUGCACACGGCAAAGAGGAGGCCCGCAAACAGGACAAACUCAGCCCACUGGAGAAGAAACACAAACGCAGCUCUGAGCACCCGUUCCCAAGGGAGGCAGGCACCUGCUUCCUUUCAGAGGGCUUUUUGCAUGCAAGGCCUUCAUUGCCAGGAGAGCUCACAGGAGGAAAGCCUCUUUAUUGAGGUUUCUGGGACCUCUCUUAUAUGAAAUUCGGUCAUUAUAAGCAUAUAGCUAAAGCUAAUUGGUGUGAGCUGAUGAGCUAAAGCACGGUUCAUCCUCCAGAUCCCUCCCAAACGGGCAAAUCUGCCUUAAACUUCUCCAGCAAGCAGGAAUGCACAACAUUAACCAUUUAGAGGACAGGCAAUGCUUAAAAAAUCCCCACUGUUAAAACUUAGUGUUACCUUUUCACUAGAAAUCAGAGCCUCUCCCAAUUCAGACCGUCUGGGUGAAACUAAUCUCCAAAUCUAAGCAUCCCAAUCCCAAACCUGGCAAUGGGAGCAAGUGGUCUUUCAGGAGUCCAGGGGCCUUUGCCUCACCGCAACCAUCGAUGAGUCCCAAAAGUACAAUACCUGAGAAUAAGAGAAUGCCAGGCCUGUAAUGGAGAACAUCACUUCUCCAGCUGAUAUCAACAGGUACUGCGGCAGC